rnacentral:rRNA from 1 species
UGCAAGUCGAGCGAACAGAUGAGAAGCUUGCUUCUCUGAUGUUAGCGGCGGACGGGUGAGUAACACGUGGGUAACCUACCUAUAAGACUGGGAUAACUCCGGGAAACCGGGGCUAAUACCGGAUAAUAUUUUGAACCGCAUGGUUCAAUAGUGAAAGACGGUUUCGGCUGUCACUUAUAGAUGGACCCGCGCCGUAUUAGCUAGUUGGUAAGGUAACGGCUUACCAAGGCGACGAUACGUAGCCGACCUGAGAGGGUGAUCGGCCACACUGGAACUGAGACACGGUCCAGACUCCUACGGGAGGCAGCAGUAGGGAAUCUUCCGCAAUGGGCGAAAGCCUGACGGAGCAACGCCGCGUGAGUGAUGAAGGUCUUCGGAUCGUAAAACUCUGUUGUUAGGGAAGAACAAAUUUGUUAGUAACUGAACAAGUCUUGACGGUACCUAACCAGAAAGCCACGGCUAACUACGUGCCAGCAGCCGCGGUAAUACGUAGGUGGCAAGCGUUAUCCGGAAUUAUUGGGCGUAAAGCGCGCGUAGGCGGUUUCUUAAGUCUGAUGUGAAAGCCCACGGCUCAACCGUGGAGGGUCAUUGGAAACUGGGAAACUUGAGUGCAGAAGAGGAGAGUGGAAUUCCAUGUGUAGCGGUGAAAUGCGCAGAGAUAUGGAGGAACACCAGUGGCGAAGGCGGCUCUCUGGUCUGUAACUGACGCUGAUGUGCGAAAGCGUGGGGAUCAAACAGGAUUAGAUACCCUGGUAGUCCACGCCGUAAACGAUGAGUGCUAAGUGUUAGGGGGUUUCCGCCCCUUAGUGCUGCAGCUAACGCAUUAAGCACUCCGCCUGGGGAGUACGACCGCAAGGUUGAAACUCAAAGGAAUUGACGGGGACCCGCACAAGCGGUGGAGCAUGUGGUUUAAUUCGAAGCAACGCGAAGAACCUUACCAAAUCUUGACAUCCUUUGACCGCUCUAGAGAUAGAGUCUUCCCCUUCGGGGGACAAAGUGACAGGUGGUGCAUGGUUGUCGUCAGCUCGUGUCGUGAGAUGUUGGGUUAAGUCCCGCAACGAGCGCAACCCUUAAGCUUAGUUGCCAUCAUUAAGUUGGGCACUCUAGGUUGACUGCCGGUGACAAACCGGAGGAAGGUGGGGAUGACGUCAAAUCAUCAUGCCCCUUAUGAUUUGGGCUACACACGUGCUACAAUGGAUAAUACAAAGGGCAGCGAAUCCGCGAGGCCAAGCAAAUCCCAUAAAAUUAUUCUCAGUUCGGAUUGUAGUCUGCAACUCGACUACAUGAAGCUGGAAUCGCUAGUAAUCGUAGAUCAGCAUGCUACGGUGAAUACGUUCCCGGGUCUUGUACACACCGCCCGUCACACCACGAGAGUUUGUAACACCCGAAGCCGGUGGAGUAACCUUUUAGGAGCUAGCCC